UCCAAAGCACACUAUUCACUGUGAUUUUGCAAGCUAAGCAGAGUCAAGGCUGGUUGGUACUUAGAUGGGAGAUCUCCAGAGAAUAGCAUAGACCUUGGAG
rnacentral:rRNA from 1 species